rnacentral:rRNA from 1 species
AUUGAACGCUGGCGGCAGGCCUAACACAUGCAAGUAGAACGAGUGGCGGAAGGGUGAGUAAUGUCUGGGAAAAUGCCUGAUGGAGGGGGAUAACUACUGGAAACGGUAGCUAAUACCGCAUACCAUCGGAUGUGUCAAGAUGGGAUUUGCUAGUAGGUGGGGUAACGGCUCACCUCGGAGACGAUCCCUAGAUGGUCUGAGAGGAGGACCGGCCACACUGGAACUGAGCCACGGUCCAGACUCCCACGGGAGGCAGCAGUGGGGAUUAUUGCACAAGGGGCGCAAGCCUGAUGCAGCCAUGCCGCUUGUAUGAAGAAGGCCUUCGGUUUGUAAAGUACUUUCAGCGGGGAGGCGUUACCCGCAGAAGAAGCACCGGCUAACUCCGUGCCAGCAGCCGCGGUAAUUC